rnacentral:misc_RNA from 1 species
AACGCACGAGACCUGCGGACCUGCGGAGGGAUCAUUACCAAUUUUUAAUUAUUAGUGCGUGUCUCGGUCAAACGAGUACACGUAACUACUAAUGUAAACGUUGAACUAGAUCAUUGGUUGUGGAUUGCUUGGGAAUGGAAGAAGCGACAAGCCUCUUCCGGACAGGCAAACCCCACACCGAUAACCUUUUCAUACAUAUUACAACUAGUACAUACUACAAACAAACAACAAACAAAAGCU